rnacentral:lncRNA from 1 species
GGCUGCUUACAAAGAAUAACUGUGCAAUAAAAUAGUAAUACAUAGAGACUUUAUUUGCACACAAAUUCAAUUACUGGGUUAACAAAUUACAUACAUAGAAUGAAAUGAAUGGAAAUGCUUAUAUAACUACACAUCUUUUGCAUAACAGAUUGAGCCUACAUACUAAACAGGGUUAUAAUAACCAGUUAGGGUUAGUUUUUCAGUUUAAAAAUACUCAUUCUGGAUUCUAGCAAAAAUACUUAAAGGACAUUUAUUUAGAUUAGGCCAAUUAAAAUUAAUUGA